AUGGACUCCCUCCUUCUGAAGACUUGCCUGGAAGCCAGCCCCGAGUGCUGGAGUGCACAGCGCCUCCAACGAGAACAGCUAAGAGGAAGUGCUGUUACCCGCCUACCUGCCCAGCUCCAGAUUGAGGCCUCUCAGUGGACCUGCUUUUCCAGUGCAUCUGAAACUCACCCUGCCUGGAUCUCACCUUGACCCCCAAGAUCCCAAAGAAACCGGUGUGUCAAGUUGACAACCAACAUCGCUUCCACUUUGUGAAUGAAGAUGCUGAGGCCGCCAGUGGAGCCAGUAGCCUGGGUGAGGCCACACAGCUAGUUAAGCUAGUUAUGCAGAUCUGGUUGGUACCUAAUGCAGUAACUUCCUUUAAAUGCCUUCCCCGAGCCACACUGGACCCCCCUAGCAAGGACAGCUAAGCACUGAAGACCAGUGAGUGUGACCACAGGCUUUACCCUGGAGAGUCCUUAGCCAGGUCCUAUAGGUUCUGUCUGGCUGUCCUGAGGGCCUCAGUUUACAGGCGCUCAUCCAGAGACUGCUCAACCUUGGGCAGGUUCCCUAUCGGCGUGUCCUGCAGAGGCACUGUCCUUCUUGGCCUAUCCCAGGCUUUGAUUUUCCCAGAUGGACAGGCUCUUUUACUAAACCUCUACACUCCCAGUGCUCCCUGGGCCCUAGGACAGAGGAGAUCCACAGGAUCUUCUCCCUGGCCAUCCCAGGGAGGGUUCAUUUGAGAGGUAACAUGUUUGUCCUGUGAUUCUGACUCCAAUCAAGGUCUAGGUCCUGGUACAGCUGCAGCCUCCCUUCUAGAAGCUUCUGAGGAGUGUCAGUUUCCUGUUGCCGCUGUAAGAGAUGUCCUUGCACUUCGUGGCCUAGACUAGCACACAGUUACAAUUCUGAGGGGGCCAAGAGACAGAAGAGGUCCCGCAGGGCUAUCCUCAGGGUGUAUAGCAAACAUGGGCUCUAGGAAACAGCCUAUGGGCAAGGCAGCACACACCUGUAACCCCAGCACUCAAAAGACUGAGCCAGAAUGUUCUAAAGCCUAAGGCCAGUCUGGGCUAUAUAUAGAAGAAUGAGUUUCCUGCCUC
rnacentral:lncRNA from 1 species